GAUGAAGAACGUAGCGAAAUGCGAUAAGUAAUGUGAAUUGCAGAAUUCAGUGAAUCAUCGAAUCUUUGAACGCACAUUGCGCCCGCCAGUAUUCUGGCGGGCAUGCCUGUUCGAGCGUCAUUUCAACCAUCAAGCCCCCGGCUUGUGUUGGGGACCUGCGGCUGCCGCAGGCCCUGAACAGCAGUGGCGGGCUCGCUGUCACACCGAGCGUAGUAGCAUACAUCUCGCUCUGGGCGUGCUGCGGGUUCCGGCCGUUAAACCACCUUCAUAACCCAAGGUUGACCUCGGAUCAGGUAGGAAGACCCGCUGAACUUAAGCAUAUCAAUAAGCGGAGGA
rnacentral:misc_RNA from 1 species